rnacentral:rRNA from 1 species
GACGAACGCUGGCGGCGUGCUUAACACAUGCAAGUCGAACGGUGAAGGGGUCUGCUUUUGUGGGCCCUGGAUGAGUGGCGAACGGGUGAGUAACACGUGAGUAACCUGCCCCCUUCUUCUGGAUAACCGCAUGAAAGUGUGGCUAAUACGGGAUAUUCUGGGUCUGUCGCAUGAUGGGUCUGGGAAAGAUUGCGCCUUUGGGUGUUUUUGGUGGGGGAUGGGCUCGCGGCCUAUCAGCUUGUUGGUGGGGUGAUGGCCUACCAAGGCGGUGACGGGUAGCCGGCCUGAGAGGGUGGACGGUCACACUGGGACUGAGACACGGCCCAGACUCCUACGGGAGGCAGCAGUGGGGAAUAUUGCACAAUGGGCGCAAGCCUGAUGCAGCGACGCCGCGUGAGGGAUGGAGGCCUUCGGGUUGUAAACCUCUUUCGCCAGUGAAGCAGGCCUGCUCCUUGUGGGUGGGUUGACGGUAGCUGGAUAAGAAGUGCCGGCUAACUACGUG